rnacentral:rRNA from 1 species
UUUGAUACUUGGGGUGAAUUGCAGAAUCCCGUGAACCAUCGAGUCUUUGAACGCAAGUUGCGCCCGAGGCCAUCCGGUCGAGGGCACGCCUGCCUGGGCGUCACUCCUCCCGUCGCUCCCCACAGUCGUACGGAUGCGGAGAUUGGCCCACCGUGCUUUGUGUGCGGCGGGUCGAAGUGUCGACCGUUGUUGGGCCUGGCGCUACGAAUGGUGGACGAAUACAUCGUUGUUUGUGCCUACUCUCCGUGUCCUUGCCCUCAACAAUGCGACGUGUCAUCGUCGGACCCCUCACCAAGGACUCUUUCGGCUUCUGAAUAAGAAGGAACCGUCCUCGGAACGCGAUCCCAGGUCGGGCGGGGCUACCCGCUUAGUUUAAGCAUAUCAAUAAGCUAAGGAGAAGAAACUUACGAGGAUUCCCCUAGUAACGGCGAGCGAACCGGGAACAACCCAGAUUUAGAAUCGGGCGGCCACGCCGACCGAAUUGAAGUCUGGAGAAAUGUCCUCAACGACGGACCGAGCCACAAGACCUCGAAAAUGUUACGU